rnacentral:rRNA from 1 species
CAUGCAAGUCGAGCGAAUGAUAGGGAGCUUGCUCCCUUGAUUUAGCGGCGGACGGGUGAGUAACACGUGGGCAACCUGCCCUGUAGACUGGGAUAACUUCGGGAAACCGGAGCUAAUACCGGAUAAUCCAUUUCCCCUCAUGGGGAAAUGCUGAAAGGCGCUUUCGCGUCACUACAGGAUGGGCCCGCGUCGCAUUAGCUAGUUGGUGGGGUAACGGCCUACCAAGGCGACGAUGCAUAGCCGACCUGAGAGGGUGAUCGGCCACAUUGGGACUGAGACACGGCCCAAACCCCUACGGGAGGCAGCAGUAGGGAAUCUUCCACAAUGGACGAAAGUCUGAUGGAGCAACGCCGCGUGAGUGAUGAAGGUUUUCGGAUCGUAAAACUCUGUUGUAAGGGAAGAACAAGUACGUUAGGAAAUGAACGUACCUUGACGGUACCUUAUUAGAAAGCCACGGCUAACUACGUGCCAGCAGCCGCGGUAAUACGUAGGUGGCAAGCGUUGUCCGGGUUUAUUGGGCGUAAAGCGCGCGCAGGCGGUUUCUUAAGUCUGAUGUGAAAGCCCACGGCUUAACCGUGGAGGGUCAUUGGAAACUGGGAGACUUGAGUGCAGAAGAGGAAAGUGGAAUUCCAAGUGUAGCGGUGAAAUGCGUAGAGAUUUGGAGGAACACCAGUGGCGAAGGCGACUUUCUGGUCUGUAACUGACGCUGAGGCGCGAAAGCAUGGGGAGCAAACAGGAUUAGAUACCCUGGUAGUCCAUGCCGUAAACGAUGAGUGCUAAGUGUUAGGGGGUUUCCGCCCCUUAGUGCUGCAGCUAACGCAUUAAGCACUCCGCCUG